AUUGAACGCUGGCGGCAUGCCUUACACAUGCAAGUCGAACGGCAGCAUGGAGAGCUUGCUCUCUGAUGGCGAGUGGCGAACGGGUGAGUAAUGCAUCGGAAUGUACCGGGUAAUGGGGGAGAACGUAGCGAAAGUUACGCUAAUACCGCAUACGACCUGAGGGGGAAAGCAGGGGAUCGCAAGACCUUGCGUUAUACGAGCGUCCGGGGUCAGAUUAGCUAGUUGGUGAGGUAAAGGCUCACCCAGGCGACGAUCUGUAGCGGGUCUGAGAGGAUGAUCCGCCACACUGGGACUGAGACACGGCCCAGACUCCUACGGGAGGCAGCAGUGGGGAAUUUUGGACAAUGGGGGCAACCCUGAUCCAGCCAUGCCGCGUGAGUGAAGAAGGCCUUCGGGUUGUAAAGCUCUUUCGGCCGGGAAGAAAUCGCACAGGCUAAUACUCUGUGUGGAUGACGGUACCGGCAUAAGGAGCACCGGCUAACUACGUGCCAGCAGCCGCAGUAA
rnacentral:rRNA from 1 species